rnacentral:rRNA from 1 species
GGGUUGUGAGGUUAAGCGACUAAGCGUACACGGUGGAUGCCCUGGCAGUCAGAGGCGAUGAAGGACGUGCUAAUCUGCGAUAAGCGCCGGUAAGGUGAUAUGAACCGUUAUAACCGGCGUUAGUGGAAGCGUCUGGAAAGGCGCGCGAUACAGGGUGACAGCCCCGUACACAAAAGCGCAUGUGCUGUGAGCUCGAUGAGUAGGGCGGGACACGUGGUAUCCUGUCUGAAUAUGGGGGGACCAUCCUCCAAGGCUAAAUACUCCUGACUGACCGAUAGUGAACCAGUACCGUGAGGGAAAGGCGAAAAGAACCCCGGCGAGGGGAGUGAAAAAGAACCUGAAACCGUGUACGUACAAGCAGUGGGAGCACAGGUUUACCUGUGUGACUGCGUACCUUUUGUAUAAUGGGUCAGCGACUUAUAUUCUGUAGCAAGGUUAACCGWAUAGGGGAGCCGGAGGGAAACCGAGUCUUAAYYGGGCGUUAAGUUGCAGGGUAUAGACCCGAAACCCGGUGAUCUAGCCAUGGGCAGGUUGAAGGUUGGGUAACACUAACUGGAGGACCGAACCGACUAAUGUUGAAAAAUUAGCGGAUGACCUG